GGAUGAGACCAGUAACUUAGAGGAUUAGAGUAUGUGGUUACAAAUCACGGUGUCGGGGGUUUGAAACCCUCCUCGCCCA